ACGAAUUUCGAUUCGGUCUUCUGUGCUGGUGGCAACACAUGUGCACGUUGAUCGUAAUUCCAUUCUCCUUUCAAUCGUCCAAGUGUGUUCGGUCGGCCUUUUGGGUCGAAGAAGCGUGGCCGUCAGGCUCGUUCGUUCUGAGCGCACAUUGGUUAUUUCACCCACUCUGGGUACUCGAAACAAAGAAACAAAUCAUAUAAAUUAAA
rnacentral:misc_RNA from 1 species